AUUGAACGCUGGCGGCAUGCUUUACACAUGCAAGUCGAACGGUAACAGGCCUUCGGGUGCUGACGAGUGGCGAACGGGUGAGUAAUGCAUCGGAACGUGUCCAGAGGUGGGGGAUAACGCAGCGAAAGCUGUGCUAAUACCGCAUGUGAUCUGAGGCUGAAAGCGGGGGACCAGGCAGCAAUGUUUGGCCUUGCGCCUUUGGAGCGGCCGAUGUCAGAUUAGGUAGUUGGUGGGGUAAAGGCCUACCAAGCCGACGAUCUGUAGCUGGUCUGAGAGGACGACCAGCCACACUGGGACUGAGACACGGCCCAGACUCCUACGGGAGGCAGCAGUGGGGAAUUUUGGACAAUGGGCGCAAGCCUGAUCCAGCAAUGCCGCGUGCGUGAAGAAGGCCUUCGGGUUGUAAACCGCUUUUGUACGGAACGAAAAGGCUCUGGCUAAUACCUGGGGCUGAUGACGGUACCGAAAGAAUAAGCACCGGCUAACUACGUG
rnacentral:rRNA from 1 species